UCGGGAAUUUUGGGCAAUGGGCGAAAGCCUGACCCAGCAACGCCGCGUGAAGGAUGAAGUAUUUCGGUAUGUAAACUUCGAAAGAAUAGGAAGAAUAAAUGACGGUACUAUUUAUAAGGUCCGGCUAACUACGUGCCAGCAGCCGCGGUAAUACGUAGGGACCAAGCGUUGUUCGGAUUUACUGGGCGUAAAGGGCGCGUAGGCGGCUUGACAAGUCACUUGUGAAAUCUCUGGGCUUAACCCAGAACGGCCAAGUGAAACUGUCAUGCUAGAGUGCAGAAGGGGCAAUCGGAAUUCUUGGUGUAGCGGUGAAAUGCGUAGAUAUCAAGAGGAACACCUGAGGUGAAGACGGGUUGCUGGGCUGACACUGACGCUGAGGCGCGAAAGCCAGGGGAGCAAACGGGGAUUAGAUACCCUGGUAGUCCCUGAGCGGGCUGGCAAGGCGCAU
rnacentral:rRNA from 1 species